rnacentral:rRNA from 1 species
AAGCUCGUAGUUGAAUUUCGAGACCGGUUUAUUGGUCGUGCUUUUGUACGUACUGGUAUUAUUGGUUUCUCCUUUCUGACGAAUCUUAAUGCCAUUAAUUUGGUGUUUUGGGGAAUCAGGACUGUUACUUUGAAAAAAUUAGAGUGUUUAAAGCAGGCUCACGCUUGAAUACAUUAGCAUGGAAUAACGGAAUAGGACGUUUGAUUCUAUUUUGUUGGUUUCUAGGAUCGACGUAAUGAUUAAUAGGGAUAGUUGGG